CUCAAUCAAAUGGAGUUGCUGAAAGAAAAAAUAGAACUUUUCUUGACAUGAUUAACUCAAUGCUUACUAGUUCUGGUCUUUCCAACAAUUUGUGGGGUGAAGCUCUAAUUUCAGCAUGUAAAAUACUUAAUCGUAUACCAUUUAAAGAUAACGAGAAAACACCAUAUGAGUUAUGGUGGGGUAGAAAAUCUAGUCUAAAAUAUUUUAAAGUUUGGGGUUGCCUUGCAAAAGUUAAAAUUAACUCUAGCAAGAUGACUAAACUGUCUUCUAAGACUUUCGAUGCAGCUUUCAUAGGAUACGCGGAAAAUAGUAACGCAUACCGAUUCUUAAUAGUACGAUCAGAUGUACCUGACAUUACACCGAACACUAUUAAAGAAUCGAAUGAUGCAGUAUUUUUUAANNNNNNNNNNNNNNNNNNNNNNNNNNNNNNNNNNNNNNNNCGAGAAUCCUCUAAAUCACAAAAUGAUAACACUGAAAUAGAACCCCAAGUUGAACUUAGAAGGAGCAAGAGACCUAGAAUAGAGAAAAACCUAGGAGAUGACUUCUACACAUUCCUUGUUGAAGAUAAACCUUUGACUUAUGCUGAAGCAAUGAAAUCUAGUGAUGCACCUCUAUGGGAGGAAGCCAUUAAAAGUGAGAUGGAAUCAAUCCUUUCACACAAUACAUGGGUGUUAACCGACUUACCUCCAGGGUCUAGACCACUAGGGUGCAAAUGGGUCUUUAAAAGGAAACAAAAUCCUGAUGGAUCCAUUGAAAAAUACAAAGCUAGAUUAGUUGCUAAAGGUUUUAGUCAAAGAGAAGGAAUGGACUAUUUUGACACUUAUUCUCCAGUCACUAGGAUAACUACAAUUCGAGUGCUUAUAGCAUUGGCAGCAUCAUAUAAACUUGAAAUCCAUCAGAUGGAUGUAAAAACUGCCUUUCUUAAUGGCGAGUUAGAUGAAGAAAUUUAUAUGGAGCAGCCAGAAGGUUUUGUAGUUUCUGGUCAAGAGAAUAAAGUGUGUAAGCUAGUCAAAUCCUUAUAUGGAUUAAAACAAGCUCCUAGACAGUGGCAUGAAAAGUUUGACCAAGUCAUUUUAUCAUAUGGCUUUAAUAUUUGUGACUUCGAUAAAUGUGUAUAUUGGAAAAUAUUUGAUAGGUCUAUUAUUAUCCUAUGUUUAUACGUAGAUGACAUUUUAAUUUUUGGUAGUGAACAUGUCACAAUUUUUGAAGUAAAGAAAUACUUAAGUGAUAAUUUUGACAUGAAAGAUCUAGGGUUAGCUAAAGUAAUCUUAGGAAUCAAAAUUAGAAGGACACAAAAUGAGAUUGUUCUAAGUCAAUCUCACUAUGUUGAAAAAGUGUUAAAAAAAUUUGGGUACGAAAAUUACAAGCCAGUUAGCACCCCAUAUGAUCCUAGCAUAAAAUUAAAGAAAAAUAGUGGGGAUAGUGUUUCCCAAUUAAGGUAUUCUCAAUUAAUUGGAAGUCUUAUGUAUUUAUCUAACUGUACAAGACCAGAUAUCUCCUAUGCUGUAGGAAGACUAAGUAGAUACACUAGUAAUCUCGAUAAAACACAUUGGAAUGCAAUAGAAAGGCUUCUUAAAUAUUUGAAGGGUACCAUUAACUACGGGAUAUACUAUUCUGGUUUUCCUACUGUACUAGAAGGGUAUAGUGAUGCUAACUGGAUUUCUGAUUCCGAAGACACAAAGGCCACUAGUGGAUUUGUCUUUACACUAGGUGGUGGUGCAGUCGCUUGGAAAUCUUCCAAGCAGACCUUGAUUACUAGAUCCACCAUGGAGGCUGAGAUGGUAGCCUUAGAGUUAGCUGGUGGAGAAGCAGAUUGGCUUAGGGGUCUGUUAUCAGAUAUCCCCAUGAUGGAUAAGCCUAUUCCUGCUAUUCUAAUUAACUGUGAUAAUCAGGCGACUAUAGCAAAAGUGAAAAGUAAAAAUCACAACUCGAAGUCGUCUAGGCAUAUUGAGCUUCGAUAUAAAAUUUUAAGGAAGCUCACCUCUACUGGAGUUAUAACUUUAAGUUAUAUUAAAUCAGUGGAGAACUUGGCAGAUCAUCUGACCAAGGGCUUGUCGAGAGGACAAGUUCAAUAUGCUUCGAGGGGGAUGGGUUUAAAGCCUAUUUUUGAGUCACCGUCAGCGGCAACCCAACCUAUCUGACUGGAGAUCCCAAGAUGUAGGUUCAAUGGGACAAACAAGCUGACUGAGUGGUUGGUAGGAGCACCAGAUUUAAAGUGAACUCAGUUCACUACCCAUCUCUAUGGAGCAGGUGCUCAACUGCACUAGACAGGAGGAUGGCGUAAUGCCUUAAUGAUAUCAAGGCUAUUAUAGCAAGGUAUAGAGUUGCAGUAUACCCUUGGAGAUAUCACCGAUGUGAGUGUGACUGUGGGGCCGCAGUCAAAUAGAGAAUUAAGGCUUGUUCUCUAAGAGACACUCUCAAAACAAGAUACCUGUGCACGGCCGUAAUGCGCUACCCCGAUGGAACUCACAUGCAGGGUCAACUCUUAGUUGUUCAGUAUUUUAAAAUCUAUAUAUAAAGUCCAAGUUCAAGACUUUGUUCACUUCGGACCGGUGUGGAUGGCAAAAUACCAACUAGAUGAAGGUUCAAGUCCGAAAGACACCUUUCAUCGAAAGCUAAGUGUACUGAAUGCUCGUACUUUGAAUUUUUCAAAAUUUUGACAUUUUCAAAAUUAUCUCAAAAUUUUUUUUUUCCGAAAUUUCAAAAUGGUGGGGAAUGUAAGAGGUUUUGAAUUUGAAAUUUGAAACGGUUGUGAACCGUUUCUCCCCAUUUAAACUCAUUUAAAGCCAUCCUAAAUGCAAUACAAACGUUGGGCUCCAACGUUGAUCCAGAUGGGAGAGAGAGGAGAGCUCUCUCACACUCAUUAAUUCCUUCUCUUCACAUCCGUUAGAGGGCUUUUUUCCUUCUACGGUUUUCCUUGCUUUUUCUGAUUUUUUUUUGGCUUUCAAGUGGUGAGGGGAGAAGACAAGAGGGGUUAUCUUGUGGUUGGCCUCCUCUUCGCCGAUCACUCUUCAUCUUUUGGCUUUGAAUCAGUUUUGUACGAGCAUACAGAAAAAUCCCUGCGGAGUUCAAGAGAUUUUGUAGUACUGUGCACGUCUACAAAAUCAACGGUCCGUUGUAUCUUGGGAAGGGAUCGCCAGAAUCCGGUGCAUAUAAGGAGGCGAAUCUCUUUCAAAGACAGUGACUACACGCCUCGGACCGAUCUACAGGUAUUAUCUAUUUUAUUUUGGAUCUAAAGAAAACGACAUCAAAGAGGUACGCAUUGGAAUCAGUUGUUUCAGNNNNNNNNNNNNNNNNNNNNNNNNNNNNNNNNNNNNNNNNNGAUUACUACAACAUUUUUGAAAGAGAUUUGUUUCCGAAACACAAAGAUGGACAAAGUUAAGAACUCAUUAAACGAUAUCCUGAAACCCGAGUCAUUCGAUGGAAAGAAUUUUGUUAGAUGGCAAACAAAGAUGGAGUCUUGGUUGGACACAUUAGAUUUAUUUUAUGUGGUUUCAAACAAUCCUUCAACUAAGGACCCAAUGGAUCAUGAACCCGGCAGAUCAGCUGCUAAAUACAAAUUUGAUAAAGAUGAUCGUUUGUGUAAGAGUUUGAUACUUAGUUCACUAAAUGAUAACUUGUACGACAUCUACUCUAGAGCUGAGGGUACAGCUAAAACAUUGUGGGAUGAACUUGAGUCAAAUAUGGUAAAGAAACUGAAUCAGAAGAAAAGUUCAUCAUAGGAGAAUAUUUUUCUUACAAAAUGGUAGAUCAAAAAUCAGUAAUUGAUCAAGCACAUGAAGUCCAGAAUAUAGUGGCGAAGAUCAUCGCAAUGGGAAUUUCUAUAGAUGAGAGAAUUCAGGCGGCAACCCUUAUAGAAAAGCUUCCAUCUUCCUGGACAAAUUUUAAAGUCUCUUUGAAGCAUAAGAGACACACCCUCUCUUUGGAUCAAGUACUUGUGUCCCUUCAAAUAGAAGAAAAAUACAGGAAUAACCAUAAACAGGAUUUGGGUAUUGACUCAGAAGUUAAUGCAAAGGCAAACUUAGUAGAAACGAAGAAAACUAACUUCUGGAGAAAUAAACCCAAGAAACACUUUGAGAAGCCAAAACCAAAGAUUAAAAAGGAACAGAGCAAGAGAACAUGUUAUGUCUGUGGAAAACCAGGACACUUUGCCAAAUAGUGUAGACAUAGAAAGGACAAAGUCAAGAGGCAAAUAUGAUAACAGGUUCUGGUUCUACUGGAAUCGAGGACAGGUUAGUAAUCUCAAAACUUGAGUUAAAUCUGGCCUACAAUCCAACUGAAUGGUGGAUUGAUACAGGAGCUACUGUCCAUAUAUGUUCUGAUAUUUCCUCUUUUUCUUUCUACCAGGAGGUUAAAGGGAGAACUGUGACCAUGGGCAACUCCAGUGUUGCACAAGUGAUUGGAGAAGGAGAAGUAAAAUUGAAGUUCACAUCUGGAAAAAUUAUUACUCUCCACAACGUGCAACAUGUGCCAGAUGUUCGCAAGAAUCUUGUUAGUGGUUUUCUUUUGAGUCAAUUAGGCUUUAAAUUAGUGUUUGAAUCAAAUAAGGUUGUAAUUACCAAAGGUGGGACAUUUGUAGGGAGGGGUUAUGUUGCUGAUGGGUUAUUUAAAUUGAGUGUAUUACCAUGCUACAAUAUGAAUAAAAAUAUUUCUUCUCCACUUGUUAUGCAUAUCGACUCUUUAGAGAUGUGGCAUGGUAGACUUGGACACGUAAANNNNNNNNNNNNNNNNNNNNNNNNNAAUUUAGAUUUAAUUCCUAAAUAUAAUUUAGAGAAGAACAAAAAAUGUGAAAUUUGUGUUCAAGCUAAACAACCUAGGAAACCAUUUAAAUCAACAAGUAGAAGUUCUAACCUACUGGAUUUAAUACAUAGUGACAUUUGCGAAAUGAGCGGUAUUUUGACGAGAGGAGGAAAAAGAUACUUUAUUACCUUUAUAGAUGACAUGUCAAAAUACUGCUAUGUAUAUUUAAUAAAAACUAAGGAUGAAGCCUUAGAAAAAUUUAAAAUUUAUAAAUCAGAGGUUGAAAAUCAAACCCAGAAAACAAUAAAAAGACUCAGGUCAGAUAGAGGAGGAGAAUAUAGUUCAACAGAAUUUGGAAAAUUCUGUGAGGAACAUGGGAUUAUACAUGAGACUACUGCCCCUUAUUCUCCUCAGUCAAAUGGAGUUGCUGAAAGAAAAAAUAGAACUUUUCUUGACAUGAUUAACUCAAUGCUUAUAGUUCUGGUCUUUCCAACAAUUUACGGGGUGAAGCUCUAAUUUCAGCAUGUAAAAUACUUAAUCGUAUACCAUUUAAAGAUAACUAGAAAACACCAUAUGAAUUAUGGUGGGGUAGAAAACCUAGUCUAAAAUAUUUUAAAGUUUGGGUUGCCUUGCAAAAGUUAAAAUUAACUCUAGCAAGAUGACUAAACUGUCUUCUAAGACUUUCGAUGCAGCUUUCAUAGGAUAUGCGGAAAAUAGUAACGCAUACCGAUUCUUAGUAGUACGAUCAGAUGUACCUGACAUUACACCGAACACUAUUAAAGAAUCAAAUGAUGCAGUAUUUUUUGAGAAUGUGUUUCCUAUGAAAGAAAAGAGAAAGUUAGAAAUAGGAGAAUCCUCUAAAUCACAAAAUGAUAACACUGAAAUAGAACCCCAAGUUGAACUUAGAAGGAGCAAGAGGCCUAGAAUAGAGAAAAACCUAAGAGAUGACUUCUACACAUUCCUUGUUGAAGAUGAACCCUUGACUUAUGCUGAAGCAAUGAAAUCUAGUGAUGCACCUCUAUGGGAGGAAGCCAUUAAAAGUGAGAUGGAAUCAAUCCUUUCACACAAUACAUGGGUGUUAACCGACUUACCUCCAGGGUCUAGACCACUAGGAUGCAAA
rnacentral:lncRNA from 1 species